GGUCCUAUGGCCAAAUGGAUAAGGUGCCUGACUACGAAUCAGGAGAUUCCAGGUUCGAAAAAAUCCUCUUCUCCGAGCA